UCUUCAUUUCACCUGCUCUCUCACUGGUCAGAGUGGCGAGAGAGCGCGUGAAAUGAAGAGA
rnacentral:pre_miRNA from 1 species